rnacentral:rRNA from 1 species
UACGUAGGGUCCGAGCGUUGUCCGGAAUUACUGGGCGUAAAGAGCUCGUAGGUGGUUUGUCGCGUUGUUCGUGAAAACUCACAGCUCAACUGUGGGCGUGCGGGCGAUACGGGCAGACUUGAGUACUGCAGGGGAGACUGGAAUUCCUGGUGUAGCGGUGGAAUGCGCAGAUAUCAGGAGGAACACCCGUGGCGAAAGCGGCUCUCUGGAACGGUACUGACGCUGAGACGCGAAAGCGUGGGGAGCGAACAGG